rnacentral:rRNA from 1 species
ACGAACGCUGGCGGCGUGCUUAACACAUGCAAGUCGAACGGAGUGCCUAUGACAGAGGUUUCGGCCAAUGGAUUAGGUUACUUAGUGGCGGACUGGUGAGUAACGCGUGAGGAACCUGCCUUUCAGAGGGGGACAACAGUUGGAAACGACUGCUAAUACCGCAUGACGCAUGACGGGGGCAUCCCUGACAUGCCAAAGAUUUUAUCGCUGAAAGAUGGCCUCGCGUCUGAUUAGAUAGUUGGCGGGGUAACGGCCCACCAAGUCGACGAUCAGUAGCCGGACUGAGAGGUUGACCGGCCACAUUGGGACUGAGAUACGGCCCAGACUCCUACGGGAGGCAGCAGUGGGGAAUAUUGGGCAAUGGACGCAAGUCUGACCCAGCAACGCCGCGUGAAGGAAGAAGGCUUUCGGGUUGUAAACUUCUUUUAAGAGGGAACAGUAGAAGAGGGUACCUCUUGAAUAAGCCACGGCUAACUACGUGCCAGCAGCCGCGGUAAUACGUAGGGAGCAAGCGUUAUCCGGAUUUAUUGGGUGUAAAGGGUGCGUAGACGGGAAAUUAAGUUAGUUGUGAAAUCCCUCGGCUUAACUGAGGAACUGCAACUAAAACUGAUUUUCUUGAGUGCUGGAGAGGAAAGUGGAAUUCCUAGUGUAGCGGUGAAAUGCGUAGAUAUUAGGAGGAACACCAGUGGCGAAGGCGACUUUCUGGACAGUAACUGACGUUGAGGCACGAAAGUGUGGGGAGCAAACAGGAUUAGAUACCCUGGUAGUCCACACCGUAAACGAUGGAUACUAGGUGUAGGGUGUGAUAAACAUUCUGUGCCGUCGCAAACGCAGUAAGUAUCCCACCUGGGGAGUACGGCCGCAAGGUUGAAACUCAAAGGAAUUGACGGGGGCCCGCACAAGCGGUGGAUUAUGUGGUUUAAUUCGAAGCAACGCGAAGAACCUUACCAGGGCUUGACAUCCUACUAACGAAGUAGAGAUACAUUAGGUGCCCUUCGGGGAAAGUAGAGACAGGUGGUGCAUGGUUGUCGUCAGCUCGUGUCGUGAGAUGUUGGGUUAAGUCCCGCAACGAGCGCAACCCCUGUCCUUAGUUGCCAGCAUGUAGAGAUGGGAACUCUAAGGAGACUGCCGUAGAUAAUACGGAGGAAGGUGGGGAUGACGUCAAAUCAUCAUGCCCCUUAUGUCCUGGGCUACACACGUAAUACAAUGGCGGUCAACAGAGGGAUGCAAAGCCGCGAGGCAGAGCGAACCCCUAAAAGCCGUCCCAGUUCGGAUUGCAGGCUGCAACCCGCCUGCAUGAAGUCGGAAUCGCUAGUAAUCGCGGAUCAGCAUGCCGCGGUGAAUACGUUCCCGGGCCUUGUACACACCGCCCGUCACACCAUGAGAGUCGGGAACACCCGAAGUCCGUAGCCUAACCGCAAGGAGGGCGCGGCCGAAGGUGGGUUCGAUAAUUGGGGUG